rnacentral:misc_RNA from 1 species
GUGAAUCAUCGAAUUUUUGAACGCAAAUUGCGCUUCCUGGUAUCCCGGGAAGUAUGCCUGUUUGAGGGUCAGUAUUAACAAAAAAAUCGGUUUGGUUGCAAAUUGUGACGUUUCCGGAGUUUGGGCUAUCCUAACUUUUUUGGUUAAGGGGCUUAAAAUUGACCUUUUUUGCGCAUUUUUAGACGUACAUAAAUUUUUUUUUUUAUCGGUUUUUCUUUAUUGCAAAAUUUUUUUAAAAUGGGACAA